rnacentral:misc_RNA from 1 species
UCUCCGUUGGUGAACCUGCGGAGGGAUCAUUACUGAGUGAGGGCCCUCGGGCUCGACCUCCAACCCUUUGUGAACACAACUUGUUGCUUCGGGGGCGACCCUGCCGUUUGCGCGGCGAGCGCCCCCGGAGGCCUUCAAACCCUGCGUAACUAAGUCGUCGGAGUUUAAACAAAUUAAACAAAACUUUCAACAACGGAUCUCUUGGUUCGGGCAUCGAUGAAGAACGCAGC